ACUAGGGUUGUGAGAGAGAGAGAGAGAGAGAGUGAGUGAAAAGUCUCUCCAAGCCUCCAAAGGCAGACAGAGAGAAAAAAAAAAAGAAAAAAAAAAAGAGAGCACCCAAGUGUGUGUCAAAAUAUUUUGUUUGCUGAGUUUCUGAGGCUGAGAUCUCUCUCUCUCUCCUGGGCUCGCAAAACUCGAAGAGAAAGCAGUGGAAAAAUAAAGAGCUUGGUUGGAUGAGUAUGGAGUGGUGGGAUAAGGUGAAGAUUCCCAUUCGACGUGUUUGGAUCGGCGUUGCCACGCGUCUUGGGAUUCGCAAAAGCGGACUACUGAAGCUGAGACAUGAUGUGAGCACUUGUGAAUAUGAGGAUGUGCGUGUGAUGUGGGAGAUGCUGAAAAGAAGCGAAACGGAGCAAGUCGUCCCUGAAAAGAGCAAGAAGAGAUCCUUUUGGAAUAUCUUUGAUUGGGCUAGGUGCACUCCAUGUCUCUGCCGUGGUCUUUGAUCAUUCAUAUAUGAAAUCUUCUCAGCUCACAAACUCUACUUGCUAGGUCUGCAAAGUAUGGAAAUCGAUUUUGUCCCAUAAAAAAAUAAGAAGAUGACAGAGCGCUUCAUAUGUGACAUGGUUUCUUCUCCUCUUAAUAGGUCAUCUAUCUGUGGAUAUGUACUUACCAUUUCGACAUGAUCCAUCUCUUCACUCCAUGUUUAUUCCCUGCGAAAUAAACUAUUAUGUGUUUAUAACACAUAAUAUGUGUUUUAUGUUUCAUACAUUAGUAUGCACUGUUAUAUAUUGUGCCUGCAUGCUUAUGAAUAGUGCCGUCUUCUUUUUCUGCUUUGAACAUCUCUUUUUGUUUCUUGUUUGUGGAUGAUAGUGCACAUUCAGAAGAAUUUUAGAGUGAA